UACGGAGGGUGCAAGCGUUGUUCGGAAUCACUGGGCGUAAAGGGCGUGUAGGCGGUCCGCUAAGUCUGAUGUGGAAAGCCCGAGGCUUACCCUCGGAAGUGCAUUGGAGACUGGCGGACUUGAGUCCCGGAGAGGAGGGUGGAAUUCCUGGUGUAGCGGUGAAAUGCGUAGAUAUCAGGAGGAACACCGAUGGCGAAGGCAGGUCACUGGGCCGCAACUGACGCUGAGGAGCGAAAGCAUGGGGAGCGAACAGG
rnacentral:rRNA from 1 species